ACUCCUACGGGAGGCAGCAGUGGGGAAUUUUGGACAAUGGGCGAAAGCCUGAUCCAGCAAUGCCGCGUGAGUGAAGAAGGCCUUCGGGUUGUAAAGCUCUUUUGUCAGGGAAGAAACGGUGAGAGCUAAUAUCUCUUGCUAAUGACGGUACCUGAAGAAUAAGCACCGGCUAACUACGUGCCAGCAGCCGCGGUAAUACGUAGGGUGCAAGCGUUAAUCGGAAUUACUGGGCGUAAAGCGUGCGCAGGCGGUUUUGUAAGUCUGAUGUGAAAUCCCCGGGCUCAACCUGGGAAUUGCAUUGGAGACUGCAAGGCUAGAAUCUGGCAGAGGGGGGUAGAAUUCCACGUGUAGCAGUGAAAUGCGUAGAUAUGUGGAGGAACACCGAUGGCGAAGGCAGCCCCCUGGGUCAAGAUUGACGCUCAUGCACGAAAGCGUGGGGAGCAAACAGGAUUAGAAACCCUAGUAGUCCC
rnacentral:rRNA from 1 species